UGAGUACGAAAUGCUACGGCAUUGAAGCAGUCUAUGUCAUACUUCCAAGAAAAGCUUGCACUGUCAUAAACAAAUAAUGCCUGUACCAUAACCGACACAGGUGGGUAGGUAGAGUAUACUAAGGGGCGCGAGAUAACUCUCUCUAAGGAACUCGGCAAAAUGACUCCGUAACUUCGGGAGAAGGAGUGCCUUAUUUCUAAGGUUGCAAUAACAAGAUCCAAGCAACUGUUUAUCAAAAACACAGGUCUCCGCUAAGUCGUAAGACGAUGUAUGGGGGCUGACGCCUGCCCAGUGCCAGAAGGUUAAAGAAGUUGGUUAGCAUCCGCGAAGCUGAUAACUGAAGCCCUGGUGAACGGCGGCCGUAACAAUAACGGUCCUAAGGUAGCGAAAUUCCUUGUCGGGUAAGUUCCGACCCGCACGAAAGGCGUAAUGAUUUGGAUACUGUCUCGGAGAGGGGCUCGGUGAAAUAGACUUGUCUGUGAAGAUGCGGACUACCUGCACCUGGACAGAAAGACCCUAUGAAGCUUUACUGUAACUUGAAAUUGAAAUUGGACUUUAUUUGCGCAGUAUAGGUGGGAGGCGUUGAAGAUAUUCUUGCGGGAAGAUUGGAGCCAUCAGUGAGAUACCACUCUUGUAAUGUUAGAUUUCUAACUUUGUAUCAUUAUCUGGUCAAAGAACAGUUUCAGGCGGGCAGUUUGACUGGGGCGGUCGCCUCCCAAACGGUAACGGAGGCGCACAAAGGUUUCCUCUGAACGGGUAGAAAUCGUAUCUAGAGUGUAAAGGCAUAAGGAAGCUUGACUGUGAGACCUACAAGUCGAGCAGGGACGAAAGUCGGUCUUAGUGAUCUGACGGUGCUGAGUGGAAAGGCCGUCACUCAACGGAUAAAAGUUACUCUAAGGAUAACAGGCUGAUCUCCCCCAAGAGUUCACAUCGACGGGGAGGUUUGGCACCUCGAUGUCGGCUCAUCGCAUCCUGGGGCGGUAGUACGUCCCAAGGGUUGGGCUGUUCGCCCAUGAAAGCGGUACGCGAGCUGGGUUCAGAACGUCGUGAGACAGUUCGGUCCAUAUCCGGUGUAGGCGUUAGAAUAUUGAGAGGAGCCUUCUUUAGUACGAGAGGACCGAGAAGGACAUACCUCUGGUGUACCAGUUAUCGUGCCAACGGUAAACGCUGGGUAGCUAUGUAUGGAGAGGAUAACCGCUGAAAGCAUCUAAGUGGGAAGCCCACCUCAAGAUAAGUAUUCUCAU
rnacentral:rRNA from 1 species